GACGAACGCUGGCGGCGUGCUUAACACAUGCAAGUCGAGCGAGGGGCUUCGGCUCCUAGCGGCGAACGGGUGAGUAACACGUGGGCAACCUGCCUCGAGCUCUGGAAUAACCUCGGGAAACCGGGGCUAAUGCCGGAUAUGACACUGCCGGGCAUCUGGUGGUGUGGAAAGAUUUAUCGGCUCGGGAUGGGCCCGCGGCNUAUCAGCUUGUUGGUGGGGUGAUGGCCUACCAAGGCGACGACGGGUAGCCGGCCUGAGAGGGCGACCGGCCACACUGGGACUGAGACACGGCCCAGACUCCUACGGGAGGCAGCAGUGGGGAAUAUUGCGCAAUGGGCGGAAGCCUGACGCAGCGACGCCGCGUGGGGGAUGACGGCC
rnacentral:rRNA from 1 species